rnacentral:rRNA from 1 species
AAAUGCAAAGUGCUUAACUGCAUUUUUUCUUACACAUGUGUUUUUCUUUUUUUGAAAACUUUGCUUUGGUAGGCCUUCUAUAUGGGGCCUGCCAGAGAUUAAACUCAACCAAAUUUUAUUUAAUGUCAACCGAUUAUUUAAUAGUCAAAACUUUCAACAACGGAUCUCUUGGUUCUCGCAUCGAUGAAGAACGCAGCGAAAUGCGAUAAGUAAUAUGAAUUGCAGAUAUUCGUGAAUCAUCGAAUCUUUGAACGCACAUUGCGCCCUUUGGUAUUCCAAAGGGCAUGCCUGUUUGAGCGUCAUUUCUCCCUCAAACCCUCGGGUUUGGUGUUGAGCGAUACGCUGGGUUUGCUUGAAAGAAAGGCGGAGUAUAAACUAAUGGAUAGGUUUUUUCCACUCAUUGGUACAAACUCCAAAACUUCUUCCAAAUUCGACCUCAAAUCAGGUAGGACUACCCGCUGAACUUAAGCAUAUCAAUAAGCGGAGGAA